GGGGCCUGUUUGUGGAAGCCCUUUGUGAAUGACAAAGCCCUGUCCUCCAUGCCUUGCUAUUACCAUUGGGGCCAUGUGGCUUUGGACACAGAUGGGUGGGUUCCAGGGUCUAAUUCCCCAUGGUCUUCCCUAAAGAAACAUACACUCAGCCUCCUGUGAGAUCCCAGGCCCCUCCCUCACUGCCCUAACCCGGUCUGAUUUCCAGCUUGUAGAGAGUGCCUGAGAGGCCUGGAGGAGACUUGGGACCUGCUUUCACAACUGCAGAGCCUCCUGGGGCCACACCUUGAAAAAGGUGACUUUGGUCAGCUCUCCGGUCCAGACUCCCCAAGUGAGGUGGGCAAAAGAGCACCUGAUGGAGCCUCCCGGUCCUCUCAUGAGCCUAUGGAAGAUGCUGCUCCCAUUCUCUCCCUGUUAGCUUCCCCAGAUCCUCAAACCAAGCAUCCUCAGGAUCUGGCCUCCACCCCACCACCAGGCCCAAUGACCACCUCAGUCUCCUCCCUAAGUGCCUCCCAGCCACCAGAACCUUCCCUUCUCCUAGAACAUCCCUCACCCGAGCCACCUGCACUUUUCCCUCACCCACCACGCACUCCUGAUCCUCUGGCCUGCUCUCUGCCUCCUCCAAAAGGCUUCACUGCUCCUCCCCUGUGGGACUCCACUCUGAUAACUCCAUCUAACUGUGACUCAGUGGCACUUCCACUGGGCACUGUCCCUCAAAGCUUGCCUCCCCGUGAGGAUUUGGCAGCUUCUGUCCCAG
rnacentral:lncRNA from 1 species